AUGAUAGGAACGGGCGAGGCAAACACAGCCAAGGAGAAGCCCCUAGCGGUUGAUUCUCAUGCUCAAAUAAUGCCCAUAUGGAUGGUGGUCAAGUACAAGUUAUGCACUAGAACCGAAGGAUUCAGACAUGAUUUUGAUGACGCUAAAUAUAUUGAUGCUUAUGUGUGUGGUAUGGCGGGUGAACCUCCAUGGAGGCUCACUUGCAUCUACGGCGAGCCACAGACGGAGGACCGACACCACAUGUUGUCGAUUCUCCGUGAUCUUCACUAUCAAGCCGACAUGUCACAUGCGUUAUGUGGUCUUGGUGAUCUUGGAUUUUCUGGUCUACCAUACACUUAUGAUAACCGACAGUCAGGCCGAGCAAACGUCAAAGUUAGGCUUGACCGGGUGGCGGAAAACAAGCAAUGGCACGAUAUGUUUUUGGAGGCCGAUGUUAAAAACCUGGUUGUUUUUUGCUCUGCUGCUUCGUUGGACCGGCUCGGAUCCGGAUCGGUUUUACUACCCCACAACCCUGAUGAAAGUUCUUGUUCCUGCGAUUUGUCAGUUGCCAUUUCCCUCUCCUCGCCGCUUAUUUCAACACCUGCACCCAUCACCAUACUCGUCUCGCCUCUCGCCAUCCAAACCCUCACGUUUCUCUCGCGUCCCCUCGUCCCAGCUCCCAAAGCAAGCGAGCAGCGCGCGACCAACCAAGCAGAAAGAGACAGCCCGAAGCAGGAGCCGGCCAUCCAUUGA
rnacentral:rRNA from 1 species